GAGCUGUGUGGCGCACACGCUGUCCUCGGACAGAUGUGCCAUUGAGCUGUGGAAGGCCUUGGGGGAAGAACCACAGCUCCCCAGGGAGGUGCUGCAGCAGCUGCUGGACAAGCUCCAGCAGAGACGCCGGGAGGAGAAGAGCGGCAAUGUGUCUCUGGCUGCAAUGAGGACCAUUUACGAGGUCCUUUUCCUAUGGGGAUACCGAGAAGCCAUCCUGGAAAUGUAUCCCCAGAUGCUCAUCCUCUGCGUCAGGCAAGUGCAGUAUGUGAUGGAUCUGCACUUGCCAGGGACCUACAUGGCCAGCACGACAUCCAGCCCCGAGGAGGGAUCCA